GAGCGGAGCUUUCGCCAAUCGAAGUGAGCGAGCGAGAUGGAGCGACCGGUGGGAAGCGUAAUUGAAGGAGAUGGCUUAAAGAGAUUAAAACUGUGCCCAGUUUUCCUAAGUGCUUCUAUACUCAGAUUGAUUUUGCUAAAUUUUCGGAUUGCAGUCAGCAAAAGUGAUGGCAACAACGUAAACCCCUGCUUACAAAGUAACCAUACAGUCAAAGCCCGAUGUUUCAGAUGCGAAAGAUACGGAUGAAUCGAGGCACAGGGGCGAGAGCGCAUCUCGAGUCGGGACAUUUGCAUAAUAAGGCAGCCAGUGCAUGCAGCAUGAGAAGUCUUCUGUGAUUCGUUGCAAAUUUCUGGGGGGAUCCCCCGCACUGCAGAUGUGUGAGUGACUGACUGUUUUGGAUUCUGUGUCAAAAUGGCGCAGAAAAAUGGUCGAGUGGAGCUGACUGCAGGGCGUCAAAGUGGAAUGAAUUUGACACACAGCAGUGUUUCCAGUAAUCAUUACUUUCCCACUGCUCCUGGUGAUCAAUUGGAACCAAGAGCCAGGCAAAUCAGAGUUAAAUCGACGCCUUGACCCCUGUGGCCGUGUGGCAAUGUCGAGUCAAGGAUAUCGCUCGCAACAGGACACUCUCCCUGCACUCCUCUAUUCCCUUCCGCAUGUAUCUCUCUCUUCGGUUCGCUAUUUCUCGUUCACCUUUCCAGAAAUCUCUCGGCCUGGCUGUGAUUUUAUGUGCUGUUUUCGGUUUCGGUAUCCGCAAAUUUAUUUGCCUGCAGUGCAGAAGCGUAGUAAACUUUUCUCGCCAGCUAACCCCACUACUGCCCCUUUCCUCCUUUUAGCAUCCUUUUAGCUCGUUUAGCUCCUCGCACACACACAUACACACACACACACACAUACACUCGCAGUAAGAACAUACACACACACAGUGGAAGCAUUUAUGCGACGUGCAACAAAUUUUAAUGCGUUUUCUCGCCAAAACGUUAAAAAAUGUGGGCACAACUUGGAAUGCCAACAACAAAAGUAACUGCCAUUUGCAGUGAGUGUGUGUGUAUGUUUAAGGGGAAUUGAGAGGGGGAUAGCGGGUUCUAUACCCAUUCGAGUUCAACUGGCAACUGUUGCCCAAAGAAAGGAUCCAACAAAAGCGUCACGUACUUGGCAAAUCGCACAUUUUCUAUAACUUCUGCGCCGCGUGUGUGUGUGUGUGAGUGUGUACGUGUACGUGUAUGUGUGUGUCUGUUAUGGCCGUGUCAAAAAUAUAACUCAUAUGGCUGCCCCCCAAAAAACUCCAGCCCACGACUUCCUCCCGGCAAGCUGUUACCUCUUUCUUGGCCUUUCUUCUGCUCUGAUGAUAACAGCGUUUACAGCCCAAAAAUUUGAUUACAAAUGUCAACACUUUUUUCGGGUUUUCCGGUGGCUGUGUUGUGUAUUUUCCGCUUUGCUGCCCAGAGAUUGAAGGAAAGUAUAGCUGGCCUUUCCCUCCACACACACACACACACACACACACGCUCCACGGCCGCCGGCACUUCAUCAACGAAAUUUCCUCAGCUCCCCAUGGAUUGCAUUUUUCAAUUCGUUACGCAAGACGCGAGCGCAUUUAGUUUAUAUAAUAUGAAUAAGCCGCUGACUGCAAAACAUGCAAACAAAACGUUUACAUUGCAGAGCGACGAAAAAAUAGUGAAUGCACAAGUAGUUCUGGUUGGAUUCUCAGACUUUUAAUACUCUGAAAACAGUUCUCGUUGUGACCUUUUGAAAUACAAUU